CUCAGGUUAGACCAAGAGGAGGUAGCUGGGAUAUUAGACUUCUUCCAAAUGGUGCGAGUCAAAAGACUGACCCCGGUGAACUGUUGGGACUUGAUAGCCACAAUCAAUAGCUUGUAAAACAAUAAGGUCAGCAUGGUAGAGAUUCAGAUUUCCUGCCUCCAGAUGGAAUGGAAAGAAGACUGGUGUGCUGAGCCGUUGAGAAUUAUCGUGACACAAGUUGGAAACAACGAUGCUGUUAGUGAAUGGUUCCUCUGAGUUGCUAAGUCCCAGACUCGAAGAUUUUAAAAUGUGAUUAGCCGUGAUGCGUUUUUCAUCUGAACAAGCACAGUUAUCUUAUGGUUGUUCCCCAAAAUCACCUUUCUCUAUCCCAGCAGGUAUUCUAGCAUUAAGAACAGGAUCCUGAUCAAAGGAAAUCUGAAGAAAAUGGAAAGUAUAAAUUCUUUAAUAAAAA